GAUGGGCAUGACGCACAUCGCCAUGUCCGACCACGGCAACCUGCACGGGGCCUACGACUUCUUCCACUCCGCGCAGA
rnacentral:tRNA from 1 species